CAGCAGCCGCGGGAAUACGUAGGGUGCAAGCGUUAAUCGGAAUUACUGGGCGUAAAGCGUGCGCAGGCGGUUAUGUAAGACAGAUGUGAAAUCCCCGGGCUCAACCUGGGAAUUGCAUUUGUGACUGCAUGGCUAGAGUGUGUCAGAGGGGGGUAGAAUUCCACGUGUAGCAGUGAAAUGCGUAGAUAUGUGGAGGAAUACCGAUGGCGAAGGCAGCCCCCUGGGAUAACACUGACGCUCAUGCACGAAAGCGUGGGGAGCAAACAGGAUUAGAUACCCCAGUAGUCCCUGUCUCUUAUAU
rnacentral:rRNA from 1 species